rnacentral:lncRNA from 1 species
GAGCAAGGCCUUGGAAAAUCGGAGCGAUUAGAGCGAAGUGCUUCGGUCAGGCAGUAUCUUUGAAAAUAAUUUGGCCAAUGAAAGCCCUGGCAUUGGAUGAAAGUGCUAGCUGCUGGGAAUGCUACCCCUCCUUUUGGUUCUCUUUCAAGUCCUUCAGGUUCAAACAAUACAGAAGUGUAUAAAGUAAGAAUUGAAAGUCUCUUCGCUGCUCUAAUCUCACUCCUCAGAGGUGAUCACUGUGUGGAAGAUGAUCAAAGUAUGACAUUUCUUCUACCCCAGAGGCUGGCAUUUCUGCAGGCACAAAUGAGCUUGGUUUUCAAGCACUGCUCUUUGAACACAAGGAAUUCCUUUAAUGAUCACGCCGGACUAUAUAGACUUUGGAAUCAGACUCUUUGAAUUCCAGCUCUGCCAUUUACCAACUUUGACACUUUGGACAACGUCUCAUUCUGUCACCCAGGCUGGAGUGCAGUGGCACAAUUAUAGCUCACUGCAGCCUCAAACACCUGGGCUCAAGCAAUCCUUCCACCUCUGCCUCCUGAGUAAUUGGGACUACAGGUAUUAUGUUUCUAUUAAUGCAGUCUAAAGGGUUUUGGAAAUCUGGAUUGUAGCAGGGCAUUGUAAGUUAAAAAAUCAUCUUCCCAUUCUGUUCUUUGCAAAGAUAUUUCUGUUCCUUAAAUUUGUUGAGGGUAAGAGAUUGCAGAUUGCUUCUGUGGACUUCUUGAAGGUAAGUAUUAUUUCUUGAUAUUUGUAUCUCCAGUGUCUGGCACAAUGCUUGGGGGUGAGGAAGAACUCAAUAAAUGUUUGUUGGAUGAAUAAGUAAUAUUUGUGAAAGUGUUUUGUAGACUAUGAAACUGCACAAACGAAAGAUCACAAGGAUGAUUGCUUAUGAAGCCCAGAAAUUGAAGUGGAACUCCUUUCUUAAUGUAACACACACAUACAUAUUACACACAUUUUUUUCCUUGAAUAGUGGCUGCAUUUUUUUUAAUGGAACACUGGGCUACUUUUAAAUAUUGAAAUCAAAAUGUACAUGCCCACUUUUUAUUAGCAGUUGCUCCAUUUGCUCCUCCAGCUUUGGCUGGAAAACAUCUAUUUGUAUACUUAGUAUCUCUGUCCUUGGUUACCCCCAUCCCUGCCUUCUCACCCAUCUUUAGUCUGCCUUAUGGUCUUGCAUAGAUUUUCAACUGUUAGACUGUCAGGCUUGCAAGGAUGCAUUUUAAGAAAUCAGUUUCUUUGAAAGCACUUGAACCAAAAGUCAAAUGGCAUGAUGUAAACCAAUAGUCUUUCAAUGAAGAUAUGAAAACCCUCAAUAAUUACAAAUAAGGAAUCUAACCUAUUGACACCAAUUUGAUUACACUGUAUUGAUUUCUACAAAAAUAUUAUGAGAGAGCAGGCUACUUAUACUCUACUGAUCAGAUUACAAGUAUACUUAGUAAAGACAGAAAUAGUAUAGCCAUAAAA